UAACGAAGAGUCGCUGUCGUCACUGGCGU
rnacentral:sRNA from 1 species